rnacentral:rRNA from 1 species
CAGAGGAGGCAAGCGUUGUUCGGAGUCAUUGGGCUUAAAGGGCGUGUAGGCGGCGGCGCAAGUGUCGAGUGAAAUCCCAUCGCUCAACGAUGGAACGGCUCGGCAAACUGCGUCGCUUGAGGUCGGUAGAGGUGCUCGGAACUCUAGGUGGAGCGGUGAAAUGCGUAGAUAUCUAGAGGAACGCCUGAGGCGAAAGCGGGGCACUGGGCCGAUACUGACGCUGAGACGCGAAAGCGUGGGGAGCAAACAGGAUUAGAUACCCUGGUAGUCCACGCCGUAAACGAUGCGCACUAGGUGACGGAGCCUCUCACGGCGCCGCCGCCGAAGCAAAAGUGAUUAGUGCGCCGCCUGGGGAGUACGGCCGCAAGGCUA